UUUGCUGUCAAAAGUUUCUUCGAAAAUUACCAAUGAAUUCAUAGGAGGAAAUGUGAAAGGUCGUGGCCGUCGUGCAGCCUACCGUCAACUAUUUUGUUCAAAAUCAUUGUAUUCUACUGAAUGUGCCAUUGAAAUGAUACAGGAGUCAUAAUUAUCUGCUGUUUGUAUUGGACUUGCUAGAUCACCAACCCCAGGCCCC